rnacentral:rRNA from 1 species
UACGUAUGGUGCAAGCGUUAUCCGGAAUUACUGGGCGUAAAGGGUGAGUAGGCGGUCGAAUAAGUCAUAUGUGAAAAUCCAGGGCUCAACUCUGGACUUGCAUAAGAAACUGUUUGGCUAGAGUGCAGGAGAGGUAAGCGGAAUUCCUAGUGUAGCGGUGAAAUGCGUAGAUAUUAGGAAGAACACCAGUGGCGAAGGCGGCUUACUGGACUGUAACUGACGCUGAGUCACGAAAGCGUGGGGAGCGAACAGG